GCCCGCUUGGCGGCCAGGAGUCUCUUGCGGGCCUCCUGACGCUGCUUGUCCCCCGCAUCGGAGGCCUUGUCGCGGCUCACUGCCGGCUUGGAUUUGGCUGGCUUCUUUGGGACUGGAGGGGGUGGUUUCUUCUCUUCCUUUAGUGAGACAGUGAGGAGGGAACAAAAAUAAAACAAAGGUGCCACGUUGUGUGUGGCACUACCCCCCACUGUAUGCCGGAGCUGGAGCCUCCACCCCAGCCUCCCCGCACCGGGCACAAGCAACACACACUGGAAUCAGGAAGCCACAGAAGCGAUGAUCGUGGGAAUAGCACAAGGCAUAGGAGCAAAAGCAAGCUUAGAAUCCUAGAAUGUUCUAGCAGGAAAGGACGGACAGAUCAGCUGUUCCCACCCCUGCUUUGAACCGUUGGGAGCCUGAGUCACACAGCCAGAGACAGGACUUAAAUUCAGGGCUUCCGACUCCCAGGUUGCAUUUCACAUGCUAUUCUAAGGGAUUAGGACUUACGAGGGUCACUGGCUUCCCCUGGUUUACAGAAGGAAGCCUCAGGGAAGAGGCUGGCCACCACAAGGAGGCAGAACUGGCUCCAGACUCCCGUACUCUUGGGGGCACAGCCCUGGAGAAGGGGCCAUUUUGCUGCCUCCCAAGUUUCAAUGGCCAUGUCUACCACCGAUGCUUGAGGCUGUGGGUGGCAUGUCUCUCCCGGGGUCCCCCUUUUCUGAACAUGCAGGGCAGGAUGGCAUGCUUCAGGGGAGGCAGCCUCAACUACACAGAGCGAGCGGCAUGCUGGACAAGUGCCAAGCAUGGACCCCACGCGGUGAUGGACGUGAGCCCCCAGCUCAAAAGACGACACACGGAGAAGGGAGCCAAGCAGCACUGACCGAUGUGGGCAGCGUUAUUGCCGACCAGGAAUUUGUCCCUGGACUUCCCCUCCGCACUGCUCCAUGCUCACCUUCCUCUUCUCGGGGGUCUCCACCAGCUGCCAGCUGUUGGCCUUGAGGUGGUAGAGUUCAUCAAACUUCAUGCUGAUGUCCUCGAUGGACAGCUGUAGCAGGUCCCAGAACCCUGCCAGGUCCUGGGCUGUUGGACGUGGGUUGGCAUCAGGGUUCUGUGGGCCAGAAGGGGGAUCAGUGGGGCCAGCAAGGCAGAGACUUGUCCUGUCCGCCACCCCAAGCAUGGUACCCCCAGCCCUGUCAGCAGUGGGUAGGGGCUCUGGAGGCCUAGUCUUGCUCCCUUGUUUCCAGUGUCCGGGUCAGUAUCUGUGUGAAUGAAUGAAGCCAGAUCCCGGUCAGCCAGCCCUAAUGGUGGGGACUCUUGGGACAAGGGGAUGGUCCCAUCAUGAGAGUAGGCCCUGCACAUACAUGUGGACUGAGGCCACUGUUAAGGCCACCACUGCAGGGCUACCUUGAGGGAAGUGUUCAUGUCUCUAAUAUAUGCCAGGUAGACAGCUAACUCGCUAUUUUACAGGGAGGAAACAGAAGUUCUUAGCCAUGGUCUCGCAGGGAAGCAGGAAGAAGCCUGGAUUCACUCCCAGGAAUACACAGCCCCUGGCUGGAUGAAGAGACGCCCCCAGGAAAAGCUGCCUAGGACUCUGCUUCUGGUCCUGGCAAGCAAGCCCCCCUAUCAGGUAGGUAAGGGGAGGGAGGAGGAUACCCACCUAAACCUAGUGCUGGGAUUUCUUUAGUUCUUACCUUGAGUGUCGUCUUAGAUACAGAAUAUAUUUCAUAUAAAUAAAGUUUAUAUAAAAAGCUAA